UACGGGGGGGGCAAGCGUUGUUCGGAAUUACUGGGCGUAAAGGGUUCGUAGGUGGCCUGUUAAGUCAGACGUGAAAUCCCUCAGCUCAACUGGGGAACUGCGUCUGAGACUGGUGGGCUUGAGUGCAGGAGAGGAACGCGGAAUUCCAGGUGUAGCGGUGAAGUGCGUAGAUAUCUGGAGGAACACCGGUGGCGAAGGCGGCGUUCUGGACUGCAACUGACACUGAUGAACGAAAGCCAGGGGAGCAAACGGG
rnacentral:rRNA from 1 species